rnacentral:tRNA from 1 species
GUGGUGGAGCAGCCCGGUAGCUCGUCAGGCUCAUAACCUGAAGGUCACAGGUUCAAAUCCUGUCCCCGCAACCA